UCCCAAAGGCGACACGGCACACUACUGCCACCUAGCGGCCACAGAAACUGAGCGCCACAUUUGGGAAGGAAAAUUAAUCCUUUCCACCGCUCUUGUGUGAGGAGAGCUAGAGAUAGUAGCUGAAGGAGGUACGUGCAAUGCCGCUGAGGGGCGGAGAAGCCAGGAAGUUGCCAAAGGGACCCGGCAGCAUCCUUCCCUACACAAAGCCGGCCGCUCUCCCGCCCCGGAAAUAUGGUAAUAGCGGCCAAAGGCACGCGCCCGGAAGUCCCGGCACCAGGGAGGGAGAAUCCCCAGAGCUCCGCUCCGAUUGACGGACCCCCAGAGCAGAUGGCAGAAAGAAGAGAGGCCCACAUGGACACACAUAAGGGAGUAAUUGACUCAAAUGAGUCUGAUAACCCCAUGUUGGACUCUCCCCGGACACCAGCCAUUGGGGCUUUUACCUGGAAGAUGAUGAAUCUCUGAAGCCAUAUCUCCGUGGGUCACAGAAGCACGGCUUGUUUUCAUCUGUACCUCCUUCUAUUCCGGUGGCUCUUCCCAUCAACAGUAAGCCCGGGAUUUCGAACACAGGAGUUGAAUAUCCGGAAGAAAUCGCUCAAAGGGAAA